GUUGUCAAACGUUUUACUUGGGCUGAAGUGCUUCAUAUAUACCGCCAAACCUCCUGGACUUUUACUUUUUACACACGUUUAUUUAACUCUUUUGUGAAAUAGAAAAAUGCAACUUUAUAAGAAGAAUCAAUUAAAAUUGGCAAAAUGGUCACCGUACUUUCUCCAGACGACAUUUUCUUUAUUGUUAAGACACUGGAAGGUAUUUACUUGGAUGAGCAUCAUGAUUGCUUUGCACAGGACCAAGAGGCUUACUCCUGGGCGAUUUUAGAUUUAAGUCAUGUACAUAGCGGUAUCAUAACAAAUUUAGUUCGCGCCUUUAAUGGUGCAAAAUUUAUAAUUAAAAAGUGGUUAUGAAAAGAAUUUAAUAAAUUUUACUUUUU